rnacentral:rRNA from 1 species
UACAGAGACUGCAAGCGUUAUUCGGAUUCACUGGGCGUAAAGCGUGCGCAGGCGGUUUUGUAAGCCAGAUGUGAAAUCCCCGGGCUUAACCUGGGAAUGGCAUUUGGGACUGCAAGGCUUGAGUGCGGCAGAGGAGACUGGAAUUCCUGGUGUAGCAGUGAAAUGCGUAGAUAUCAGGAGGAACACCGAUGGCGAAGGCAGGUCUCUGGGCUGACACUGACGCUCAUGCACGAAAGCGUGGGGAGCAAACAGG